UCGAGUUUUUGAAAUGGGUUGUCGCUGGUCUCUUAUGAGGCAUGUGCACGCUCAGCUCAUCCACUCCUAAACCCUAUGUGCACCUAUGUAGAGUUUGGUGAAUGUCGGUCGAAUGGCUGAUAGGAUCCUUCUCUAUGUCUUUUAUAUAAACGCUUUAGUUAUAGAAUGUUACCUUGCAUAUUAAUGCAUUAUUAGUA
rnacentral:misc_RNA from 1 species